AUGAAUCAUCAUGCUUACAAGGUUAUCUCCUCAUUGUCCCCUAUGCAUAUGCAACAAUUCUAAAUGAAACACUCUAGACUCUAUCCUAAAUGUAAUGCAACUACAUGAACCCUCUGUUUUUGUGAAAUCAUUUUCUGAAAUUUUUCAAUUUUUUUUGUUUUUUCUAUGCCUUAGAUGAAUGCAGACUCGACGCAAGAGUAUAUACAAUGCAACACACACUUCCUGAGCCCUCCCCCAAACUUAAAUCACACAGUCCUCUGUGUGGCCAAAUUUGGAAGAGAGUACUCAGGAUAAAACACAUCACAUAAACAAAAUAUAAACAAGAGAUGGUAUAGUACAAUGGUGAAUUGAGGCACUUACCUAAGUCAAAGAAUGAACGGAGUUGGUCGUCAAUGGCUGCCUGUGAUUGCUCCCAGGCCAUUGAAGAGUCGCCUUAUUCUGUCUCAGCUCCAACAUGUCGGUACUCGACCUCCCUUCUUCUACUAGGGCCAGCACUACGGUAGAGUGAUCUCUUGGCGUGGAUAAGCUAAAACAUGGUCGAGUAUUUUUCAUUACUCUGUGGUCGAGUAUACUGAUGUACUCUCAUAGCCAGAAUCCACUUCACUCAUCUCUUUAUACUUAUCUCUUGAAGACACUAACCAAAUGCAUCAAAAACAACAAGGAAAAAUAAAGAUAUGUACAAAGAUAGACAUGGGAUUUCCUCCCAAGUGAGCUUGUUUUAAGUCCUAAGCUUGACUUCUCAUACUCAUUAGGCUUAGGGUGGGUUGUAGAGAGGAAAUGAGGUCUCCUCCCUUCUUGAGUAGAAUGAUCAUCAUACUCAUUAGGGUUUCUUGACAGGUCUGCAAUUGGGUACUCAGUGGCCAUGUCCUCACAGUAAGGUUCCUUUUUAAUCAAGAUAGUCUUCUCCACUAAACUAUUCCGAUGUGAAUUCACAUCCUUCUUUGCUGACCAGAAUAGUGGCUCCCUCGUCAGGGGCGUCCUUGAUGUUGAGUGGUACUUGGUUGGCUUUUCCAUUGAGCUCCUUGAUUUGAUCCUUCAGCUCUUUCACAAUAUAUGUUAGCUCUUGUAUGGCUUUGUCCUGCCAUUUAGAUCUCUCCUUGAGUUCUAACUAAUCAUUUGAUGUUUGAGUGCUUGCCUUGAGUUGUUUGGUCGAGCAUGAGCUUUCAGGACAAGUUGGAGGCUUCUUCGAGUUGUUGGUGGCAUCAGUUGGUCGAGCAUGUGUUGAACUUACUUCAUUAGCUUCCAUAACCUUUGUGUCAGACCCCAUCAAGCCCUUGUAAACCUUUGAGCCAACUGCAGCCUUGUGUGAGUCUAAUGGCUUCUCAGAACUCAAAGUUUCACUAGGGAGAUACCCAGCUUUACCACUCUUGGUCAAAACAGUUUUUGAAUUAUUUGCUUCUUCAAGUUUCACUAGCAGUUCACCAGCUAGCCGAUCCACUUCCUUAACUAAGAAGGUCUGUUCUUCUAUUGUCGGCUUCUUCAUAGCAUCAUUGAUUUCAAACUUCAUUUCAAAAUUCUUCCCCACAUUAAGAUCAAUAUUUCCUUGCUUAACAUUUAUGAUUGCUCCAGGUGUAGCCAAAAAGGGUCUUCCUAAUAUCAAGGGAUAUUUUGGUUCUUCAUCCAUGUUUAGCACUACGAAGUCUGUAGGCACCUACACAUUUCCAAUCUUGAUAGGCAAAUCUUCUAAUAACCCAUGAGGUAGUCUAACAAACCUAUCAGCCAAGAUCAAGGAGAUAUUGCAGUAUUUAUACUUGUUGAAACCCAAAUUCUUAGCUACUGAGAGUGGCAUGAGAUUUACUGAUGCUCCUAGGUCACAAAGGCAUUUAUUAAUGAACCUAGGGAGCAUGGUAGAGUGAAUGAACCAGGGUCUCCUAGCUUUUCUGAGACAUCGUUCUCCUGUAUGAUGGCAUUGCACUCAUGGCUCAGAACUGUUGUUUUUUGAACCUCUUGAAUUCUCUUCAUGAUCAAGUCUUUGAGGAACUUUUGGGAAUCCGGGAUACGCGUGCGAGCAUCAGCAAGAGGUAUCCUUAAUUCGACUUCCUUGGUGUUCUUGGCAAACAUAGCUCUGUACUUAUUUUCUAACUCUUUCUUCUGUCGACCAGGAAAUGGAAGUGUGGGCUUGUAAGGAGGAGGAAUGAAUGCUUUCUCAUU
rnacentral:sRNA from 1 species